rnacentral:lncRNA from 1 species
AUGCCACCCAAAGGAACAAGUGGUUCUGGAAAAGGGGAAAGUGGAAGCAACCUCUGGGAGUGACAGUGCUGGCAAGAAGGCUCAGGGUCCCAAAGGCGGUGGCAAUGCAGCUAAGGUCAGACACACUCUGUGUGAACAACAUGGCAAAAUCACGGCAGUCAUGGAAAAGUUAAAGUCUGGGAUAAGAUUCAAUGAAGCAGCCUCACAAUAUAGUGAAGAUAAAGCCAGGCAAGGGGGCGACUUCGGUUGGAUGACGAGGGUCCAUGGUGGGGCCAUUGCAGGACGCAGCAUCUGUCUUGCCUGUAAGUGGGAUGGAUAAGCCUGUAUAACAUCCACCAGUUAAGACAAACUUUGGAUAUCAUAUUAUUCUGGUUAAAGGAAGAAAAU